rnacentral:lncRNA from 1 species
UGGCAUGUGCAUGAUGGCUACCGUUACCAUGGAAACUUAAAAAAUGUAAAAUAAAAUCAAAAUUCCAAAUCUUUCAUUGUAAGACCCAACUGGAUGAAACUUUAUGGAAAUGUUCCUUGGUAUGCCCUGAUGUACCGACUAUAUUUAGAAAUUCCAAAAUGGCCAUCAUUGUCAUGGAAACAGGGCGAGAGUUUAACAUUGGCCCUAUGGGAAAAAACAUUAAACCUGUUUUUUCUUAAAGAAUAUGUUAUUAAACCCAUAGAAACUUUAUGGGGAGGUAACAUGUAAUGAGUCAAAGAGGAAUCUGUCUUUGGAAUUUUCAAAAUGAUUACCGUUACCAUGGAAACUACAAAAAAAUGAAAUUGCACCAAACUUAAUGAAACUUUACAGAAAUGUUCACUGGCAUGUUCAGAGUUGAAAUAUAAUUUUGGAAUUUUCAAAAUGGCCGCCGUUACCAUGGAAACAGCAAAAAUCCAAAAUUUUCAAAAUACUCUAAAUUGUCUAAAUCUUUACUGUAAUGACAACUGGCAUGUCUUAAUGUGAUUUUCGACUUUGAAAUGCUCAAAAUGGCUGCCGUUCACCUGCCAAUGGGGGAAGGGUGCCAUCCGCUAUUGCUUGCAAUGGCAAAUCUAGUUAU